AGUGAACGCUGGCGGCGUGCUUGACACAUGCAAGUCGAACGAGAACGGGUUAUAGCUUGCUAUAAUUGUCAGCUAAGUGGCGCACGGGUGAGUAAUGUAUAGGUAAUAUGCCUCUUACUAAGGGAUAACAAAUGGAAACGUUUGCUAAUACCUUAUACUCCUUAUUAACAGAAGUUAAUAAGGGAAAGAUUUAUUGGUAAGAGAUUAGCCUGUAUUGUAUCAGUUAGUUGGUGAGGUAAUGGCUUACCAAGACUAUGACACAUAACUGGUUUGAGAGGAUGAUCAGUCACACUGGAACUGAGACACGGUCCAGACUCCUACGGGAGGCAGCAGUGGGGAAUAUUGCACAAUGGACGAAAGUCUGAUGCAGCAACGCCGCGUGGAGGAUGACACAUUUCGGUGCGUAAACUCCUUUUAUAUGAGAAGAUAAUGACGGUAUUAUAUGAAUAACCACCGGCUAACUCCGUGCCAGCCGCCGCGGUAA
rnacentral:rRNA from 1 species